rnacentral:lncRNA from 1 species
GACGGGCGGCGACCGCGGAUACUUUCUGGAAGACGCUGUCGUCUGCUGCCGCGGCGCCGGCGGCGGUCGAGGUCUACUGAAGGACUCCACCGUACUACUCAUGGAGCUCGAGGUAGGUCUCUGUGAAAUAAUCGGAUUAUCCUGAGGGUAAAAUCGGGAAUCCACAAACGGAUCGUUAUUAGGGUUAAGCCCUUGAUUGAACUGGUGAUGAUGAGCAUAAGGUAAAGAGAAAUUAGUUUUGGCUUUAGGACCGCGAAGUGCACGCGCUGCGGCGUCAUAAGCACGCGCGGCAUCCUCAGCAGAAUCGAAAGUACCUAACCAAACCCUAGUUUUCUUCCAAGGGUCUCUGAUCUCCGCCGCAAAUCUUC